GCAGGACAAACACCUCAAGAUACCCAGCAUCACCGCCCUGAAGCUAGCUGAGCCCCUGCUGCCACACUUUGACAACGACAAGAGCCAGCUGCAGCUGCUCUCCAUUCAGCUCUUCAGCCAGGUGAUGGAGCUGGGAGUGGAAGAGGGGGAAGAGCCUCUCACGAGAAUCCUGAGCCAGAGCCUGCUCCCUCUAUUCCUGGGCUUGGCACGUGGCCAAGGCCUCUGGCGAAGCCCUGCUUUGUGCGGCAUGCUGACUGAGGAGGACGGACCUGGAGGAGCUGCGGAUAAAGUUCGCCCAGAGCCUGGUAAGGACAGCCCGGCAGCGCCAGCCGCAGGCUGGAG